UUCACAGAGAUCAGAGGCUAGAAAAUGAGUGAGCCAGGAGGUUCGCCCAAAACUCUAAGACCAGCAUAAAGUCAAUCAUCUUAAACUUGUUUUUGGUGUUUGUGGGAUUGUUUUACGCACCGUUGAGUUCUUAAACACACUGUAACAUGCUGGUUGGUAGCAUAACAUAAUUAUAAGGUGUUACGAUAGUGUUACUGGAAACGUAUGAACUUGUAACCAUACAAUUUCAGAAGAUCAGAACAGAAAACUUGGGUGUUCCAACCAAAUACAUAUACUUCGCUCUCGAUACAUUGACGCAGAAUAUUUAGUUUUUAAGUAAUUGUGUUUCUGUAAAGAGAAUGUUAUAUCAAAUACAGUUACAAACACGAGACUGGACUGAUAUUCCAAAGAAGGAUCAUGGCGAGAUGUUUCAUUACGUAGACUCUAGUACUCCGUUGAAGUUUAUUUUUUAUCGGCUACCAAGAGCAUAAAGAGCAAUGCUACUCUAUGGUUACAAUGGCAGUUUUCAAAUCAGAACCCAUAUACUGUCAUACGUUAAGUACAAAUAAUGAUUUUUUUUCAACCAUCAUUCUGCCCAUUAAUAAAUCAAUGUUGAAUAUGUUGAA
rnacentral:lncRNA from 1 species